rnacentral:rRNA from 1 species
AUUGAACGCUGGCGGCAGGCCUAACACAUGCAAGUCGAGCGGAUGAAGGGAGCUUGCUCCUGGAUUCAGCGGCGGACGGGUGAGUAAUGCCUAGGAAUCUGCCUGGUAGUGGGGGAUAACGUCCGGAAACGGGCGCUAAUACCGCAUACGUCCUGAGGGAGAAAGUGGGGGAUCUUCGGACCUCACGCUAUCAGAUGAGCCUAGGUCGGAUUAGCUAGUUGGUGGGGUAAAGGCCUACCAAGGCGACGAUCCUUAACUGGUCUGAGAGGAUGAUCAGUCACACUGGAACUGAGACACGGUCCAGACUCCUACGGGAGGCAGCAGUGGGGAAUAUUGGACGAUGGGCGAAAGCCUGAUCCAGCCAUGCCGCGUGUGUGAAGAAGGUCUUCGGAUUGUAAAGCACUUUAAGUUGGGAGGAAGGGCAGUAAGUUAAUACCUUGCUGUUUUGACGUUACCAACAGAAUAAGCACCGGCUAACUUCGUG